rnacentral:rRNA from 1 species
AAUGAACGCUGGCGGCAGGCCUAACACAUGCAAGUCGAACGGGACCUUCGGGUCUAGUGGCGGACGGGUGAGUAACGCGUGGGAACGUGCCCUUUUCUACGGAAUAGCCUCGGGAAACUGGGAGUAAUACCGUAUAAGCUCGAGAGAGGAAAGAUUUAUCGGGAAAGGAUCGGCCCGCGUUGGAUUAGGUAGUUGGUGGGGUAAUGGCCUACCAAGCCGACGAUCCAUAGCUGGUUUGAGAGGAUGAUCAGCCACACUGGGACUGAGACACGGCCCAGACUCCUACGGGAGGCAGCAGUGGGGAAUCUUAGACAAUGGGGGAAACCCUGAUCUAGCCAUGCCGCGUGAUCGAUGAAGGCCUUAGGGUUGUAAAGAUCUUUCAGAUGGGAAGAUAAUGACAGUACCGGGAGAAUAAGCUCCGGCUAACUCCGUGCCAGCCGCCGCAGUAA